GAUGAACGCUGGCGGCGUGCUUAACACAUGCAAGUCGAACGGAAGGGCCCUGCUUUUGUGUGGUGCUCGAGUGGCGAACGGGUGAGUAACGCGUGAGUAACCUGCCCUUGACUGUGGGAUAACUUCAGGAAAAUGGGGCUAAUACCGGAUAUGAUCUCCUGCUGCAUGGUGGUGGUUGGAAAGUUUCGGCGGUUGGGGAUGGACUGGCAGCUUAUCGGCUUGUUGGUGGGGUAGUGGAUGACCAGGGCUUUGACGGGUAGCCGGCCUGGGAGGGGGACCAGGGUCCAUGGGCCUACGAGACGGACCAGAAGGGUACGUGCGGCAGUAGGCGGGAAUAUUGCAGAAUGGGGGGGAGUCUGAGGUGGCGAUCUCGCGAGCGUGAUGAUGGGCUUCUGGUGGAGAACCGAUGUCGAAUGAGCCGAAGACUGCGUGACGGUAAUUGGUCAGAAAGCAACGGCUAACUACGUG
rnacentral:rRNA from 1 species